rnacentral:rRNA from 1 species
GUGCCAGCCGCCGCGGUAAAACGUAGGAGCCUAGCGUUAUCCGAAUUUACUGGGCGUAAAGCGCGUGCAGGCGGUUCGGUAAGUUGGGUGUGAAAUCUCCUGGCUCAACUAGGAGAGGUCGCUCAAUACUGUCGGACUUGAGGUUGGUAGAGGGAGGUGGAAUUCCCGGUGUAGUGGUGAAAUGCGUAGAUAUCGGGAGGAAUACCAGUGGCGAAGGCGGCCUCCUGGACCACACCUGACGCUCAGACGCGAAAGCUAGGGGAGCAAACGGGAUUAGAUACCCCCGUAGUCC